rnacentral:lncRNA from 1 species
CAACAAGAAACCUACUCCUCUUCUCGGCGACGCCGUUUGAACUUCUUUCUAAAGCCAAACCUUCUUACUCGCAUCCUAGAGUUUUUGAAUGUCUUGCUUUUGCUUCCACUCUCACACAUAACAGACACAAGUUUGAUCAAAGAAUGAGAUAGUGUUUUAUUCUAGGUUACCCUUUUGGAAUCAAAGGUUAAAAGCUGCUGGACCUUGGAUCAAAUAAGAUUUUCAUUUCUAGAAAUGAUGUUUUUUAUGAAAAUAUUUUUCCUUACAAAGGUCAUAACAUAGAACCUGAACACACUCUUCCAAGUCCAAGCGAUUUAGCUUAUUCUCAUCCAACAAAUGUUGAUUUAAACUAACCUCUUAAUCAAACUUCUCAGUCUUUGAUAGAAUCUGCAGAGAUUAUGGACAAACCAUUUGAUUCCUCCAAAGCACCUCCAUAACUCCUCAUCUACCUCACAUGUCCACUAGAAGCAGGAGAGCUCCUUCAUGCUUGCAGGACUUUGUAUGUCUGCAGGCCUCCUCACCAUCCCAUUCACAAGAGUUGAACAGACGAAAAAUUCUGCUACUCUAGGUAUUCCCUUUUCUUUUAUGUGCUAGCUUAUAUCUUAUCACAAAUUAUCUGACUCACAUAAAGCCUUUGUUACUCUUAACUCUACACACACUGAACCUAAUUCAUAUCAAGAGGCUGUUAAAUGUCGUGAAUGGAUAAAUGCCAUCCAUGAUGACGAAAAAGCUCUAGAGUUAAAUGACACUUGGGUUGUGACAGACUUGCCUCUUGGAAAAGUAGCUAUAUAUAGUAAGUGGGUUUACAAAAUUAAGUUUAAUGCAUAUGGGACAGUUGAGAGGUACAAAGUUAAACUAGUAGCAAAAGGAUAUAUGCAGCUAGAGGGUCUAGAUUACCGUGAAACAUUUUCACCUGUGGAGAAAAUGGUGACUAUGAGAAUUUUGCUUGUUGUGGCAGCAAUCAAAGGCUGGUAUUUGCAUCAAUUUGAUGUGAACAAAUGCCUUUUUACAUGGAGAUUUAGAUGAUGAAGUCUCUAUGGAACUGCCACUGGCUAUUCAACAAGUGAUCAGCAAAAGUUUGUGUAGAUUAAAGCAGGCCUCUCAAUAAUGGUACUCAUUGUCUUCUGUUAUCUUUAGCAAGGAUUUUAUUAAUCUAAGUUAGACUGUAUUCUGUUCACAAGAAGUACAAAAGAUUCUUUUAUAGCUAUAUUAGUGCAUGUUGAUGAUGUUAUAGUGGCUGGUAACAAUAUGGAAAUCAUUCAUUCUUUUAAAAACUCAUUUGAUGACAAAUUCAAAAUCCAAGACUUGGUGCUCUCAAAAUAUCUUCUUGGCAUAGAGGUAUGAGAUCUGAAAGGGAAAUUCAUAUUUGUCCAAGAAAAUAUGCAUUGGAUAUCUUGGCUGACUCAGGGAUAACUUGGAAUGUACCUGUCAAGGUUCCAUUAGAUCAAAAUGUCACGAUUUCUUAAGAUCAAGGAGAACUCUCAUCAUACCCUUCCAUCUAUAGAAGACUCAUUGGGAGAUUGCUUAACUAUCACAAG